UACAGAGGUCCCAAGCGUUGUUCGGAAUCAUUGGGCGUAAAGAGCGUGUAGGCGGCUCGGUAAGUCCGCUCUGAAAGCCCGGGGCUCAACCCCGGGAGGCGGGCGGAUACUGUCGGGCUAGAGUCCGGAAGAGGCGAGUGGAAUUCCUGGUGUAGCGGUGAAAUGCGCAGAUAUCAGGAGGAACACCGGUGGCGAAGGCGGGUCUCUGGGCCGAUACUGACGCUGAGGAGCGAAAGCGUGGGGAGCGAACAGG
rnacentral:rRNA from 1 species